rnacentral:rRNA from 1 species
UACAGAGGUCCCGAGCGUUGUUCGGAUUCACUGGGCGUAAAGGGUGCGUAGGUGGCAUAGAAAGUUUGAUGUGAAAGCUCAGGGCUUAACCCUGAAAUGGCAUUGAAUACUGUUGUGCUGGAGGUUUGGAGGGGGGACUGGAAUUCUUGGUGUAGCAGUGAAAUGCGUAGAUAUCAAGAGGAACACCAGUGGCGAAGGCGAGUCCCUGGACAACACCUGACACUGAGGCACGAAAGCUAGGGGAGCAAACAGG